rnacentral:rRNA from 1 species
GGGUGAGUAAUGUCUGGGAAAUUGCCUGAUGGAGGGGGAUAACUACUGGAAACGGUAGCUAAUACCGCAUAACGUCGCAAGACCAAAGAGGGGGACCUUCGGGCCUCUUGCCAUCAGAUGUGCCCAGAUGGGAUUAGCUAGUAGGUGGGGUAAUGGCUCACCUAGGCGACGAUCCCUAGCUGGUCUGAGAGGAUGACCAGCCACACUGGAACUGAGACACGGUCCAGACUCCUACGGGAGGCAGCAGUGGGGAAUAUUGCACAAUGGGCGCAAGCCUGAUGCAGCCAUGCCGCGUGUGUGAAGAAGGCCUUCGGGUUGUAAAGCACUCUCAGCGAGGAGGAAGGUGGUGAGCUUAAUACGCUCAUCAAUUGACGUUACUCGCAGAAGAAGCACCGGCUAACUCCGUGCCAGCAG